AGAGUUUGAUCCUGGCUCAGAAUGAACGCUGGCGGCAGGCUUAACACAUGUAAGUCGAACGAGAACCCAUCUUCGGAUGGCAGACAGUGGCAAACGGGUGAGUAACACGUGGGAAUGUACCUUUUAGUCUGGGACAACAGUUGGAAACGACUGCUAAUACCGGAUAAGCUCUACGGAGGAAAGAUUUAUCGCUAAAAGAUCAGCCCGCGCAAGAUUAGCUAGUUGGUAAGGUAAUGGCUUACCAAGGCUACGAUCUUUAGCUGGUUUGAGAGGAUGAUCAGCCACACUGGGACUGAGAUACGGCCCAGACUCCUACGGGAGGCAGCAGUGGGGAAUAUUGCACAAUGGAGGAAACUCUGAUGCAGCCAUGCCGCGUGAGUGAAGAAGGCCUUAGGGUUGUAAAACUCUUUCAGCAGGGAAGAUAAUGACGGUACCUGCAGAAGAAGCCCCGGCUAACUCCGUGCCAGCAGCCGCGGUAAUACGGAGGGGGCUAGCGUUAUUCGGAAUUACUGGGCGUAAAGCGUGCGUAGGCGGUCGAUAAAGUCAGAUGUGAAAGCCCGGGGCUCAACCCCGGAACUGCAUUUGAAACUCAUUGACUAGAAUAUGGUAGAGGAUGGUGGAAUUCCUAGUGUAGAGGUGAAAUUCGUAGAUAUUAGGAGGAACACCAGUGGCGAAGGCGACCAUCUGGACCAUUAUUGACGCUAAGGCACGAAAGCGUGGGGAGCGAACGGGAUUAGAUACCCCGGUAGUCCACGCCGUAAACGAUGUGUGCUAGUUGUUGGGACCUUGAGUUUCAGUGACACAGCUAACGCGUUAAGCACACCGCCUGGGGAGUACGGUCGCAAGACUAAAACUCAAAGGAAUUGACGGGGACCCGCACAAGCGGUGGAGCAUGUGGUUUAAUUCGAUGCUACGCGAAGAACCUUACCACCCUUUGACAUCUUGAUCGCGAGGACCAGAGAUGGACCUUUUCAGUUAGGCUGGAUCAAUGACAGGUGUUGCAUGGCUGUCGUCAGCUCGUGUCGUGAGAUGUUGGGUUAAGUCCCGCAACGAGCGCAACCCUCAUCCUUUGUUACCAGCGGGUUAUGCCGGGAACACUAAGGAAACUGCUAGUGAUAAGCUAGAGGAAGGUGGGGACGACGUCAAGUCAUCAUGGCCCUUACAGGGUGGGCUACACACGUGCUACAAUGGCAGUGACAAUGGGAAGCUACACAGCGAUGUGAUGCGAAUCUCAAAAAGCUGCCUCAGUUCGAAUUGGACUCUGCAACUCGAGUCCAUGAAGUCGGAAUCGCUAGUAAUCGCGGAUCAGCAUGCCGCGGUGAAUACGUUCCCGGGUCUUGUACACAUUGCCCGUCACGCCAUGGGAGUUGGUUUUACCCGAAGCCGGUGGGCUAACCUGUUUACAGGAAGCAGCCGUCCACGGUAAGAUUAGCGACUGGGGUGAAGUCGUAACAAGGUA
rnacentral:rRNA from 1 species